CAGGGAGUAUAAAUUUCACAUAGACUAACACUAACAGAUUGCAGUGAUUCUAAUGAGUGAGUUUCUCUGUCUUUUAGGACCUAUACAAAUAUGCAGCCAUGAUAAAGGAGAAGAACUGAAGAAAAAAUACGCACACUGUUCACAAGACUUGUUGGUUUCUGCCUCCUCUCGUCUGGCUCAGGGAGGAAGAUCCCCAACACUGGCUCUACUUUCUAGCUGAUCACCGCCAUUUACCUACCCAGGCCUGAGUGGGACAAGUACUUAGAGAAACCAGAAAUCUUUCAGGGGAUUUGUUGCUUAAGUGUAAGUGACAAUUAUUUGCAUUACUACUACUUUCCAACCAAAAAAGAAUUCUAAAACUCUGUCCUACGAAGAGAUCACAACAUGAAAGAAUUGCUUAAAAUCACUUCUUUUUUUUCCAUUGUUUUGUUGGUCUCUCUGGACUGUCUUAGAUGCUAGUUGAAAUUCAUAUUUACAUGAGUCAGAAAUUGUCUAGCUAUUCCCUAACGUCUUUAUUUCCUAAACUAUAUUCACUCUGUUUUAAAAAAAGGACUUGAAACUUUGAGACUUAAUGGUAGAGACUUAAGAAAGGGUAUCUUUUGUUGUUUCUUGCAGUAGAUGCUGCUGAGUUCAAUUGAUGCCUUGGAAAGGCUGAGGAUGAUUAAUCCUCAGUUAAAACCUAAGUGUGAAAGG
rnacentral:lncRNA from 1 species